AAGAUUAAAAAUACUUACUUUUAGGGACUUUCCUGAUGGUCCUGUGGUUAAGAAUCUGCCUGCCAAUGCAGGGGACAUGGGUUCAAUCCCUGGUUAGGGAAGAUGCCACAUGCCAUGGGGUAACUAAGCCCGUUCACCACAAAUACUGAACCUGCGCU